AUUCGAACCCUGUGGGCCUGAAUGUCAGUAUAUUUGGUUCACCACCAUAGUUUUGCAUCUCCACCCAGAUACAUGGUAGUUGUGGUUACCUUUCUAGCUUCGUCUUCAAUCGAAGCUGCGAGAAAGUACUGAUCCAUAUCAAACAAGAAGUUUUCGACUUCUUUUGCAUCACGUGCCCCUCCGUAGGUACACGGUUCAAGAAUUCUGAGUCUAGGAGCAUACUCAGGUACGGAAGCUUGCCCAUUACCCACCGCACGUUGGAGUACCCGCAAUUGAGCUCUCAACGCUUCCAUUUCAUUCUGCAGAUCAGGAAUGAUUGUAGCAGUUUCAGUCAUUGCUGCGCAAGCCCUUUGGCUUUCAUCCAGUUGGAUGUGUAAUCCACGAAUCUCGGAUUCGACUAUCUCGACUUUUUCCUCGAGACCUUCCAAAGUAUAGCACAACCUAGUAGUUGUCUCAUCAAGCGCAUCCACG
rnacentral:lncRNA from 1 species